AAGUCGUAACAAGGUUUCCGUAGGUGAACCUGCGGAAGGAUCAUUAACACGUGUCUCACGUUAUACUUUCAUACUUAUAAACAACCACCACGAACCAGUAGCUCCCUGUCAGCUAACCUCUUCGACUGUCGCCCACAUAUUAUGAUGGGUCUUACCCUUCACGGGGUAGGGCAUAUAUGGGGCACUGUAGCAUUCCUUUGAGAGCGCGGUCGAGUCACUUGUUGAUAGGCUUAUCUUAUAUAAUCCAACCCACAUAUGACCAACCAUCUUGGAUGUGGCGCGGGUUCCCAUACCUAUUUCACCCUCUUGAACUAAUUUGACUAAACUUCUCAGCAUCUAUACGUCGGGAGAAAUCUCGUUCGUGAUGCGACUAAGAUUUUAUCUUAACUAAGCACAACUCUUAGCAAUGGAUAUCUUGGUUCUC
rnacentral:misc_RNA from 1 species